rfam:Triticum aestivum genome assembly, contig: Triticum_aestivum_CS42_TGACv1_scaffold_199413_3AL
AUUCUACUCGCUCUGUUGCACAAUACAUGCCUUCUAUUUGUCAAAAUAUAUAUGUAUCUAGACAUGUCUUAGUAUAUAGGUACAUCCAUUUUUGGACAAAUGGAAGUCAAGUAUUUUGGAACGAAGGGAGUACACA